UACGGGGGGGAGCAAGCGUUGUUCGGAUUUACUGGGCGUAAAGGGCGCGUAGGCGGCGCAACAAGUCACUUGUGAAAUCUCCGGGCUUAACCCGGAGCGGCCAAGUGAUACUGUCGUGCUAGAGUGCGGAAGGGGCUACUGGAAUUCUCGGUGUAGCGGUGAAAUGCGUAGAUAUCGAGAGGAACACCUGCGGCGAAGGCGGGUAGCUGGGCCGACACGUGACGCUGGAGGCGCGAAAGCCAGGGGAGCGAACGGG
rnacentral:rRNA from 1 species